rnacentral:rRNA from 1 species
AACGAACGCUGGCGGCAUGCCUAACACAUGCAAGUCGAACGAGACCUUCGGGUCUAGUGGCGCACGGGUGCGUAACGCGUGGGAACCUUCCCUUAGGUUCGGAAUAACUCCCCGAAAGGGGUGCUAAUACCGGAUAAUUUCUUCGGACCAAAGAUUUAUCGCCUUUGGAUGGGCCCGCGUUGGAUUAGCUAGUUGGUAGGGUAAAAGCCUACCAAGGCGACGAUCCAUAGCUGGUCUGAGAGGAUGAUCAGCCACACUGGGACUGAGACACGGCCCAGACUCCUACGGGAGGCAGCAGUGGGGAAUAUUGGACAAUGGGCGAAAGCCUGAUCCAGCAAUGCCGCGUGAGUGAUGAAGGCCUUAGGGUUGUAAAGCUCUUUUACCCGGGAUGAUAAUGACAGUACCGGGAGAAUAAGCGCCGGCUAACUCCGUG